UACGUAGGGUGCGAGCGUUGUCCGGAAUUAUUGGGCGUAAAGAGCUCGUAGGCGGUCCGUCACGUCGGGAGUGAAAACUCGGGGCUUAACCCCGAGCCUGCUCUCGAUACGGGCAGACUUGAGGAAGGUAGGGGAGAACGGAAUUCCUGGUGGAGCGGUGGAAUGCGCAGAUAUCAGGAGGAACACCAGUGGCGAAGGCGGUUCUCUGGACCUUAUCUGACGCUGAGGAGCGAAAGCGUGGGGAGCAAACAGG
rnacentral:rRNA from 1 species